UUGGCUCUCUUUUUUUUAGAAUUUAAAUGAGAGAAACGUCUUUCAAGAAGCAAAGGAAGAUGCAGCCAUCACCUCAGAGGAUGACAGUUUCUUCGUUCAGGUACACGAUGUCUCCCCCGAGCAGCCACGCACUGUCAUCAAGGCACCGCGCUUCAGCACCGCGCAGGAUGUCAUACAGCAGACUCUUUGCAAAGCCAAGUACUCCUACAGCAUUCUGAGCAAUCCAAAUCCGAGUGACUAUGUUCU